rnacentral:rRNA from 1 species
ACGAACGCUGGCGGCGUGCUCAACCCAUGCCAGUCGAACGGAAAGGCCCUGCUUUUGUGGGGUGCUCGAGUGGCGAACGGGUGAGUAACACGUGAGUAACCUGCCCUUGACUUUGGGAUAACUUCAGGAAACUGGGGCUAAUACCGGAUAGGAGCUCCUGCUGCAUGGUGGGGGUUGGAAAGUUUCGGCGGUUGGGGAUGGACUCGCGGCUUAUCAGCUUGUUGGUGGGGUAGUGGCUUACCAAGGCUUUGACGGGUAGCCGGCCUGAGAGGGUGACCGGCCACAUUGGGACUGAGAUACGGCCCAGACUCCUACGGGAGGCAGCAGUGGGGAAUAUUGCACAAUGGGCGGAAGCCUGAUGCAGCAACGCCGCGUGCGGGAUGACGGCCUUCGGGUUGUAAACCGCUUUCGCCUGUGACGAAGCGUGAGUGACGAUAAUGGGUAAAGAAGCACCGGCUAACUACGUG